GUGCCAGCAGCCGCGGUAAUACCGGCAGCCCGAGUGAUGGCCGAUCUUAUUGGGCCUAAAGCGUCCGUAGCUGGGUCUGAAAGUCCAUCGGGAAAUCCACUCGCUCAACGAGUGGCCGUCCGGUGGAAACUCCACACCUUGGGACCGGAAGGCUCGAAGGGUACGGCCGGGGUAGGAGUGAAAUCCUGUAAUCCCGGACGGACCGCCGGUGGCGAAAGCGCCUCGGGAGGACGGAUCCGACGGUGAGGGACGAAAGCUAGGGUCUCGAACCGGAUUAGAAACCCGGGUAGUCC
rnacentral:rRNA from 1 species